GCCUGGGUGGCUCAGUCGGUUGAGCGUCCAACUUCGGCUUAGGUCAUGAUCUCAUGGUCUGUGGGUUCGAGUCCCACGUCAGGCU
rfam:Felis catus isolate Cinnamon breed Abyssinian chromosome A1, whole genome shotgun sequence.